rnacentral:rRNA from 1 species
CCUACGGGAGGCAGCAGUGAGGAAUAUUGGUCAAUGGACGAGAGUCUGAACCAGCCAAGUAGCGUGAAGGAUGACUGCCCUAUGGGUUGUAAACUUCUUUUAUAUGGGAAUAAAAUGUUCCACGUGUGGGAUUUUGUAUGUACUUUAUGAAUAAGGAUCGGCUAACUCCGUGCCAGCAGCCGCGGUAAUACGGAGGAUCCGAGCGUUAUCCGGAUUUAUUGGGUUUAAAGGGAGCGUAGAUGGGUUGUUAAGUCAGUUGUGAAAGUUUGCGGCUCAACCCCGUCCGGCCGUUGAAACUGGGGGCCGUGAGUGGGCGAGAAGAAGGCGGAAUGCGUGGUGUAGCGGUGAAAUGCAUAGAUAUCACGCAGAACCCCGAUUGCGAAGGCAGCCUUCCGGCGCCCUACUGACGCUGAGGCACGAAAGUGCGGGGAUCGAACAGGAUUAGAUACCCGGGUAGUC